AAAUUGAAGAGUUUGAUCAUGGCUCAGAUUGAACGCUGGCGGCAGGCCUAACACAUGCAAGUCGAGCGGUAGCACAGAGAGCUUGCUCUCGGGUGACGAGCGGCGGACGGGUGAGUAAUGUCUGGGAAACUGCCUGAUGGAGGGGGAUAACUACUGGAAACGGUAGCUAAUACCGCAUAACGUCGCAAGACCAAAGUGGGGGACCUUCGGGCCUCAUGCCAUCAGAUGUGCCCAGAUGGGAUUAGCUAGUAGGUGGGGUAAUGGCUCACCUAGGCGACGAUCCCUAGCUGGUCUGAGAGGAUGACCAGCCACACUGGAACUGAGACACGGUCCAGACUCCUACGGGAGGCAGCAGUGGGGAAUAUUGCACAAUGGGCGCAAGCCUGAUGCAGCCAUGCCGCGUGUAUGAAGAAGGCCUUCGGGUUGUAAAGUACUUUCAGCGAGGAGGAAGGCAUUAAGGUUAAUAACCUUGGUGAUUGACGUUACUCGCAGAAGAAGCACCGGCUAACUCCGUGCCAGCAGCCGCGGUAAUACGGAGGGUGCAAGCGUUAAUCGGAAUUACUGGGCGUAAAGCGCACGCAGGCGGUCUGUCAAGUCGGAUGUGAAAUCCCCGGGCUCAACCUGGGAACUGCAUUCGAAACUGGCAGGCUAGAGUCUUGUAGAGGGGGUAGAAUUUCGUGUGUAGCGGUGAAAUGCGUAGAGAUCUGGAGGAAUACCGGUGGCGAAGGCGGCCCCACGGACAAAGACUGACGCUCAGGUGCGAAAGCGUGGGGAGCAAACAGGAUUAGAUACCCUGGUAGUCCACGCCGUAAACGAUGUCGACUUGGAGGUUGUGCCCUUGAGGCGUGGCUUCCGGAGCUAACGCGUUAAGUCGACCGCCUGGGGAGUACGGCCGCAAGGUUAAAACUCAAAUGAAUUGACGGGGGCCCGCACAAGCGGUGGAGCAUGUGGUUUAAUUCGAUGCAACGCGAAGAACCUUACCUACUCUUGACAUCCAGAGAACUUAGCAGAGAUGCUUUGGUGCCUUCGGGAACUCUGAGACAGGUGCUGCAUGGCUGUCGUCAGCUCGUGUUGUGAAAUGUUGGGUUAAGUCCCGCAACGAGCGCAACCCUUAUCCUUUGUUGCCAGCGGUCCGGCCGGGAACUCAAAGGAGACUGCCAGUGAUAAACUGGAGGAAGGUGGGGAUGACGUCAAGUCAUCAUGGCCCUUACGAGUAGGGCUACACACGUGCUACAAUGGCAUAUACAAAGAGAAGCGACCUCGCGAGAGCAAGCGGACCUCAUAAAGUAUGUCGUAGUCCGGAUUGGAGUCUGCAACUCGACUCCAUGAAGUCGGAAUCGCUAGUAAUCGUAGAUCAGAAUGCUACGGUGAAUACGUUCCCGGGCCUUGUACACACCGCCCGUCACACCAUGGGAGUGGGUUGCAAAAGAAGUAGGUAGCUUAACCUUCGGGAGGGCGCUUACCACUUUGUGAUUCAUGACUGGGGUGAAGUCGUAACAAGGUAACCGUAGGGGAACCUGCGGUUGGAUCACCUCCUUACCUUAAAGAA
rnacentral:rRNA from 1 species